AUACGGAGGGUGCAAGCGUUACUCGGAAUCACUGGGCGUAAAGCGCGCGCAGGCGGGCUGAUAAGUUGGAUGUGAAAGCCUACGGCUCAACCGUAGAACUGCAUCCAAAACUAUCAGGCUAGAGUGUGGGAGAGGAAGAUGGAAUUAGUUGUGUAGGGGUAAAAUCCGUAGAGAUAACUAGGAAUACCAAAAGCGAAGGCAAUCUUCUGGAACAUUACUGACGCUGAGGCGCGAAAGCGUGCGGAGCAAACAGGAUUAGAAACCCCGGUAGUCC
rnacentral:rRNA from 1 species